AGAGUUUGAUCAUGGCUCAGAAUGAACGCUGGCGGCGUGCUUUACACAUGCAAGUCGAGCGAGGCGUCCCGCAAGGGAUAGUCGAGCGGCGAACGGGUGAGUAACGCGUGGAUAACCUGCCCUGAGGUGGGGGAUAACCAAGGGAAACUUUGGCUAAUACCGCAUGAUACCGAGAGGUCAAAGGGGGCUCGCAAGGGCUCUCGCCAUAGGAGGGGUCCGCGUACGAUUAGCUAGUUGGUAGGGUAAUGGCCUACCAAGGCGACGAUCGUUAGCCGGCCUGAGAGGGUGAUCGGCCACACUGGAACUGAGACACGGUCCAGACUCCUACGGGAGGCAGCAGUGGGGAAUUUUGCGCAAUGGGCUAACGCCUGACGCAGCAACGCCGCGUGGAGGAUGAAGGUCCUUGGAUUGUAAACUCCUGUCAGCAGGGAAAAAGCGAAUCGGUCUAAUACACCGGUGAGUUGAUUGUACCUGCAGAGGAAGCCCCGGCUAACUCUGUGCCAGCAGCCGCGGUAAUACAGAGGGGGCAAGCGUUAUUCGGAAUUAUUGGGCGUAAAGGGCGCGUAGGCGGCUUGGCAAGUGGAUGGUGAAAUCCCUCGGCUUAACCGAGGAACUGCCGUCCAAACUGCUUCGCUUGAGACCGGGAGAGGUGAGUGGAAUUCCCAGUGUAGCGGUGAAAUGCGUAGAUAUUGGGAGGAACACCAGUGGCGAAGGCGGCUCACUGGACCGGUACUGACGCUGAUGCGCGAAAGCGUGGGGAGCAAACGGGAUUAGAUACCCCGGUAGUCCACGCCGUAAACGAUGAGUGCUUGGUGUAGCGGGUAUCGACCCCUGCUGUGCCGAAGUCAACACAUUAAGCACUCCGCCUGGGGAGUACGGUCGCAAGGCUGAAACUCAAAGGAAUUGACGG
rnacentral:rRNA from 1 species